rnacentral:rRNA from 1 species
GUUUACGGCCAUACCACCCUGAACACGCCCGAUCUCGUCCGAUCUCGGAAGCUAAGCAGGGUCGGGCCUGGUUAGUACUUGGAUGGGAGACCGCCUGGGAAUACCAGGUGCU